CGCUAGCUACAGGCUUAACACAUGCAAGUCGAGGGGCAGCAUUUUAGUUUGCUUGCAAACUGAAGAUGGCGACCGGCGCACGGGUGAGUAACACGUAUCCAACCUGCCGAUAACUCCGGAAUAGCCUUUCGAAAGAAAGAUUAAUACCGGAUAGCAUACGAAUAUCGCAUGAUAUUUUUAUUAAAGAAUUUCGGUUAUCGAUGGGGAUGCGUUCCAUUAGUUUGUUGGCGGGGUAACGGCCCACCAAGACAACGAUGGAUAGGGGUUCUGAGAGGAAGGUCCCCCACAUUGGAACUGAGACACGGUCCAAACUCCUACGGGAGGCAGCAGUGAGGAAUAUUGGUCAAUGGGCGAGAGCCUGAACCAGCCAAGUAGCGUGAAGGAUGAAGGCUCUAUGGGUCGUAAACUUCUUUUAUAUGGGAAUAAAGUUUUCCACGUGUGGAAUUUUGUAUGUACCAUAUGAAUAAGGAUCGGCUAACUCCGUGCCAGCAGCCGCGGUAAUACGGAGGAUCCGAGCGUUAUCCGGAUUUAUUGGGUUUAAAGGGAGCGUAGGUGGAUUGUUAAGUCAGUUGUGAAAGUUUGCGGCUCAACCGUAAAAUUGCAGUUGAAACUGGCAGUCUUGAGUACAGUAGAGGUGGGCGGAAUUCGUGGUGUAGCGGUGAAAUGCUUAGAUAUCACGAAGAACUCCGAUUGCGAAGGCAGCUCACUAGACUGUCACUGACACUGAUGCUCGAAAGUGUGGGUAUCAAACAGGAUUAGAUACCCUGGUAGUCCACACAGUAAACGAUGAAUACUCGCUGUUUGCGAUAUACAGUAAGCGGCCAAGCGAAAGCAUUAAGUAUUCCACCUGGGGAGUACGCCGGCAACGGUGAAACUCAAAGGAAUUGACGGGGGCCCGCACAAGCGGAGGAACAUGUGGUUUAAUUCGAUGAUACGCGAGGAACCUUACCCGGGCUUAAAUUGCAACAGAAUAUAUUGGAAACAGUAUAGCCGUAAGGCUGUUGUGAAGGUGCUGCAUGGUUGUCGUCAGCUCGUGCCGUGAGGUGUCGGCUUAAGUGCCAUAACGAGCGCAACCCUUAUCUUUAGUUACUAACAGGUGAUGCUGAGGACUCUAGAGAGACUGCCGUCGUAAGAUGUGAGGAAGGUGGGGAUGACGUCAAAUCAGCACGGCCCUUACGUCCGGGGCUACACACGUGUUACAAUGGGGGGUACAGAAGGCGGCUACCUGGUGACAGGAUGCUAAUCCCAAAAACCUCUCUCAGUUCGGAUCGAAGUCUGCAACCCGACUUCGUGAAGCUGGAUUCGCUAGUAAUCGCGCAUCAGCCAUGGCGCGGUGAAUACGUUCCCGGGCCUUGUACACACCGCCCGUCAAGCCAUGAAAGCCGGGGGUACCUGAAGUACGUAACCGCAAGGAGCGUCCUAGGGUAAAACUGGUAAUUGGGGC
rnacentral:rRNA from 1 species